AUACACACACACACACACACACACACACACACAUAUAUAUAUAUAUGUAUACUGUGUGGGUGUGGGCGUGGGUGUGGGUGUAA
rnacentral:miRNA from 1 species